ACGGUAGCCCUCGAGGACUGGACGUGAGUAUCCUUGGUUUAUUGUUUUUGUUAGCAGCUAAAGCUAGCCAAGCAGGUGUAGCAGGGGGUGUCGGUGGUUAAACGAACAUUAAAACUGUCAGAAAGGCCGUUUGAGUUAACAGUAUUUAGCUGCGAAGUCGUUUUCUUGAAGUUUUCGGCUAUAGACGGCAUAAUGGGGAGAGUGGCUGUGCUGGACCUGUGGAUUGAUCUAUGCGAUCAAAGCUAAGCCAAAAUGUUUUUGUCUCUAUAAAUAAUAAUGAUAAUAAAUAAUGACAUAUUGGCUGCCUCUUUUUUUUCUUCAUUAGUACGUCAUGUUGGUGACUGAAGCCUGUUAUGAUGACUUCAACACAUUUCUUCUGACAGGUUGGCAGAAGAAAUGCUGUCCAGAAUGUUUCUAUACGCUGACUAAUUUCUAUAAUGCCUAAUGUCUGAGUUGUGUUCAUGGUAAUUAUUUCUGACAUUUUUAUGCUUUAUGUUGUAGGUGGUGAAAAAUGCUCUCCAGGGUAAACCGGGUGGACAAAGUAUUUUGAAUGACUGUGAUUGUGAUACACACACACACACACACACAUAUAGGUGGGUCUGGUUAGUUUUGCUCACACUUCUCUUUAAAAUGUUUAUUUAUUAUCCUAAUGUGUCUGCUAUUUAUCCUGUUGUUCCUCCAGGCUGGGAAAACCAGGCAUUCUUCUGUUGGUUCAUGUGCUUCAUCCUACAUCCAAAGGCCACAAGAAGAAUCCAAAACAGCUCAUGUCAAACUGUGGACCAUGUUGUCAGAUAUGUGCAGAUGCAAGCCAGUGUUGAAGCCUUCUUCCUUGCCGUGGAACCAGGACAGCCCUUCCUCCUGCAUGUUGGUGAAAACAAGAGCAGCACCAAAGACACUGCACCAUCAGUGAUCACAGGAUCAUCCAAGGUAGCUUCAGAUGAACUUUCAAAGCACACUUCACCUUCAGUGCAAAGUACCAUGAAUUCCUCUACAACUUCUGUACAUUAAUCCAGCCUACAGUUUUCAACAUUGAUGUGACUUGCACGACAAUUGAGGAGUUUAAGAUCCUUGCUUUUACUUUACCUGGCAGAGUGGACACUCUUUAUUAUGAUGAUCAUUUAAAUGCAUACUGUAUCAAUAAGAGGAUUUGUUUUGUGUUCUUCCAAUUAAGGACUUGGUGUAUUACAGUCCCUGCGGCAAGCAGUUUUCUGCAUGGUCAGCAUUGAAGGCCAUAUUGUCUUUGAGAGGGUCCAGCCAACAUUCCAGACAGGACAGUGUUGUCCAUCUUCUUCAUCUUCAACCUCCAAUAUUAACAUGAGGCAGCCAAGACUUUGGUUCAUUCAACGUCGCUUCAUUGGGAUUAACCCAGAAAGGGGCACAAAAGCCAGGCAUGGGAAGAUGGUAUCCCAAAACACAGGAAAGACCAUUCAAAAGAAAAAGUGAUGGUCAAUGUUCAGGUUUCCACCCUCAUCAAAAACCUGAUGGACUUUGAGUGGCAUCUCAUUAAUGUUCUAUCGUAAAACUAAGACUGUACUUUAAAAAGUAGCAUUACAGUUUUCUUCGCAGUAGCUUACUCAUAAAGUGAAUGCAGUAGUAAAACUAAAUUUACAGUAAAAAU